AUUGAACGCUGGCGGCAUGCCUUACACAUGCAAGUCGAACGGCAGCACGGGAGCAAUCCUGGUGGCGAGUGGCGAACGGGUGAGUAAAGUAUCGGAACGUGCCCAGUCGUGGGGGAUAACGUAGCGAAAGUUACGCUAAUACCGCAUACGAUCUAUGGAUGAAAGCGGGGGAUCGCAAGACCUCGCGCGAUUGGAGCGGCCGAUAUCAGAUUAGGUAGUUGGUGGGGAAAAGGCUCACCAAGCCGACGAGCUGUAGCUGGUCUGAGAGGACGACCAGCCACACUGGGAGUGAGACACGGCCCAGACUCCUACGGGAGGCAGCAGUGGGGAAUUUUGGACAAUGGGCGCAAGCCUGAUCCAGCCAUGCCGCGUGCAGGAUGAAGGCCUUCGGGUUGUAAACUGCUUUUGUACGGAACGAAAAGGUUUGACUUAAUACGUUGGACUCAUGACGGUACCGUAAGAAUAAGCACCGGCUAACUACGUGCCAGCCGCCGCCCGUAA
rnacentral:rRNA from 1 species